rnacentral:rRNA from 1 species
UACGUAGGGGGCGAGCGUUGUCCGGAAUCAUUGGGCGUAAAGCGCGUGUAGGCGGCUCGGUAAGUCUGCUGUGAAAGUCCAGGGCUCAACCCUGGGAUGCCGGUGGAUACUGUCGGGCUAGAGUGCGGAAGAGGCGAGUGGAAUUCCUGGUGUAGCGGUGAAAUGCGCAGAUAUCAGGAGGAACACCAAUUGCGAAGGCAGCUCGCUGGGACGUAACUGACGCUGAGACGCGAAAGCGUGGGGAGCAAACCGG